GGCUGGUCUGAGAGCAGUGGUCUUUACAACGAAUUGAGCACAACCAGUUACAGAGUCCUUUGUUCCUUCUCCACUUCUACUGCUUCACUUGACUAGCCUUAA
ensembl:misc_RNA Y_RNA Y RNA